rnacentral:lncRNA from 10 species
AAGAAUAAGGCCUACUUUAAGAGAUACCAAGUGAAAUUUAGAAGACAACAAGAGGGUAAAACCACAUUACUAUGCUCGGAAAUGCUUGGUGAUAAAGGAUAAAAAUAAAUACAACACAUCCAAAUACAGGAUGAUCGUGUGUGCAACAAACAGAGAUAUCAUUUGUCAGAUUGCUUAUGCCUGUGUAGAAGGGAAUAUGAUAG